rnacentral:rRNA from 1 species
ACUAUUCUUGAGCGCUCGUUUGCGGCACAGUCGCAGGCUCGUGUAUCUGGGCUCCGUCGCCAACUUGGGGAGUGUCAGAAGCUUGACUCCACCGCCACUGAGUUCUACAACAAAGUCAAGAGUCUCGCCGACACGCUGGCCUCCAUUGGACAGCCCCUCACCGACUCCGAGUUCAACUCAUUUAUUGUCAAUGGUCUUGAUGAGGAGUAUGACGCCCUAGUCGAGAUCAUCAAUGAGAGGGGCAACUCCACGCCCAUGCCAGCACACGAGGUCUUUUCACGCCUCCUGCUUACUGAGCAACGAGUCGAGACGCGCCGAUCCAGGGGCAACGGCGCCCUCUCGGCAAACGCC